AGGGUUGCUUAGUGCCCGUCUUUGGUUUAACUUGUUAAGGCUUUAUAGUGAUUGUAUUAACUGUGGUAAAGGCUUCAUAGUGAUUUAAGUGUGGUAAAGGCUUUAUAGUGUUUGUUUAAUUAUGUUAUCUGCUAGACUCCAUAGAACAAAUACACAUGGAGAUUAAUCUAUUCAAUAUUUUCUGAUAUGUGUGGCCACUAGAUGUCCCUGUAUCCUCAGUAUUGUUUUAUACCGGGGAUCAUAUGGAUAUUCUCUCUUCUAAACUCUAGCACACAGAAGGCUGCGGAGGAGGGCAAGCGGGCAGCGUCUGGAGGGGACUCACCACGGAGCUCCACCAAAAGGAGCGGAAGUGGCAAGGCCAGCGGGAGACGUGGAGGUCGUGCACGCCAUGUAGGCCGAUGGAGUGGCCUAACUACAGGUUUGUUCAUGUGCAAAUCCGAUUCCGAUUAGUUUACUGCAAUGACAAACAAUUGCCCAAUGUCAUUAAGAUGUUAUGUAGAGUAGUCCAAUAAUAGAAGAAAUCAUCGGCUCCUGAAUUCAACAAAAAAAAAAAGUACAGAAUUUGCAAUUUGAGGAAAGGACCAUCACUAUGUAAAAAAAGUAUUGAAUGGAAACAAAAUAAACCCAGGACUGCUAGGAGACGUUAGUUAUCGCACGGCACACAAGUGCAAGGAGUGGCCAGGUAUUCACACAUGCAGGAGUUGGAUGGUGAAGGAUUUCUCUUAUCGCACCCCCCAUCCACAUGUAUCUCAAGAGGAGAGAAUGGAGAAUAUACCUGAGCAAGGUAAGGUCUGACAUCAAUCUACCUGUCUAGUCUUCCUGAUCCUUUUCUAAUUUAUUCAGUCUGCUGCCAUAUACAGAACGUUAAGUCAUUUGAAUUCACUUUUUGUUUGGACGGAUCACAUUUUACCCACAAUGCAAGCACAACACUGCCUGCCAGGUCCCUAGCUUCACAUUGUCAGUUGGCAAACCAGUCAUCUUGAUUACCAUCAACGCUAAAAAAAAACGAGUUCCUGAUUGAGAUAUAUCUUAGUCUAACAUACAGUAUGUGUCAAUGAUCAUGACUCAUGUUCUUUUGUCGUGUUAGGGCGUUAUGAUUUGCAUCUGCCACGUUAUGUGUGCCAAACAUGCAUGGACCCCUGACGGGAGAGCCCUAGUCGGGAGUGGACAUUGGCCAGCUUCUGCCAAUGCUUCCACAAUCUACACGGGGGACCUCCUCAACUCCUUUCAGGAGCUGAAGUGGAUCUCACUUGGAUUCUCCAGGCAAGCCCUUAGCAAAGCUGCUGGAACAUCGCACACUGUGUGCAGGAAGAACCAACGGGGAUGACCUGCAGAGGAGCUUUCUUGAGUUUGCAUACGCCUCCUUUUGAGAAAGAGCAGCUCAGCUGUGAUACCCCUUUCACCUGCCCUGCCUGCACACCUGAAAUGGUAGCAGUGUCAGCAGGGGGCAACAGGAAGCCUUAUCUCAAGGGCAAUACUGGAAGGUGCACUUUAAGUUCUCUUUGGUAAAUUAGUCGCGACUGUAAGUGACAACCAGAGUAGACACAGGGAAGUGGCGAAUGUGAAGACUCUCAGUGGGCCGCAGCAAGGGAGACCUCUAGGCGGGCCUCUAAACUCGAUGAGGAAGGCGUUGAGGUUGCGGUGUGUCGGCAUGGCUUCCUUUUUAAAAGCCCUUAACAUGUACCGGGGGGGGGGGGGGAGAUAUUCACUUACCCGAUGUAUCUCCAAGAGGAGCUUCUCCCAAGCA